rnacentral:rRNA from 1 species
AGAGUUUGAUCCUGGCUCAGAGCGAACGCUGGCGGCAGGCCUAAUACAUGCAAGUCGAACGGACCCUUCGGGGUUAGUGGCGGACGGGUGAGUAACACGUGGGAACGUGCCCUUUGGUUCGGAACAACUCAGGGAAACUUGAGCUAAUACCGAAUGUGCCCCCAUCCUUAAACAAGAUGGGUGGGAAAGAUUUAUCGCCAUUGGAGCGGCCCGCGUCUGAUUAGCUAGUUGGUGAGGUAAAGGCUCACCAAGGCGACGAUCAGUAGCUGGUCUGAGAGGAUGAUCAGCCACACUGGGACUGAGACACGGCCCAGACUCCUACGGGAGGCAGCAGUAGGGAAUCUUGCGCAAUGGGCGAAAGCCUGACGCAGCCAUGCCGCGUGAAUGAUGAAGGUCUUAGGAUUGUAAA